rnacentral:rRNA from 1 species
GUUGCUCGGAAUCACUGGGCGUAAAGGGUGCGUAGGCGGGUCUUUAAGUCAGGGGUGAAAUCCUGGAGCUCAACUCCAGAACUGCCUUUGAUACUGAGGAUCUUGAGUUCGGGAGAGGUGAGUGGAACUGCGAGUGUAGAGGUGAAAUUCGUAGAUAUUCGCAAGAACACCAGUGGCGAAGGCGGCUCACUGGCCCGAUACUGACGCUGAGGCACGAAAGCGUGGGGAGCAACAGGG